rnacentral:rRNA from 1 species
CCUACGGGUGGCUGCAGUGAGGAAUAUUGGUCAAUGGACGAGAGUCUGAACCAGCCAAGUAGCGUGAAGGAUGACUGCCCAGUGGGUUGUAAACUUCUUUUAUCUGGGAAUAAAACGUUCCACGUGUGGGAUUUUGUAUGUACCUUAUGAAUAAGGAUCGGCUAACUCCGUGCCAGCAGCCGCGGUAAUACGGAGGAUCCGAGCGUUCUCCGGAUUUAUUGGGUUUAAAGGGAGCGUAGGCGGGUUGUUAAGUCAGUUGUGAAAGUUUGGGGCUCAACCGUAAAAGUGCAGUUGAAACUGGCAGGCUGUAGUAGAGUAGAGGUGGGCGGAAUUCGUGGUGUAGCGGUGAAAUGCUUAGAUAUCACGAAGAACUCCGAUUGCGAAGGCAGUUCACUGGACUGAAACUGACACUGAGGCUCGAAAGUGUGGGUAUCGAACAGGAUUAGAUACCCCUGUAGUC